UGGGGAAUCUUGGACAAUGGGGGCAACCCUGAUCCAGCCAUGCCGCGUGAGCGAUGAAGGCCUUAGGGUUGUAAAAGCUCUUUCACCGGUGAAGAUAAUGACGGUAGCCGGAGAAGAAGCCCCGGCUAACUCCGUGCCAGCAGCCGCGGUAAUACGGAGGGGGCUAGCGUUGUUCGGAAUUACUGGGCGUAAAGCGCACGUAGGCGGACCAGAAAGUUGGGGGUGAAAUCCCGGGGGCUCAACCCCGGAACUGCCUCCAAAACUAUUGGUCUAGAGUUCGAGAGAGGUGAGUGGAAUUCCAAGUGUAGAGGUGAAAUUCGUAGAUAUUUGGAGGAACACCAGUGGCGAAGGCGGCUCACUGGCUCGAUACUGACGCUGAGGUGCGAAAGUGUGGGGAGCAAACAGGAUUAGAUACCCUGGUAGUCCACACCGUAAAACGAUGAAUGCCAGUCGUCGGGUAGCAUGCUAUUCGGUGACACACC
rnacentral:rRNA from 1 species